rnacentral:rRNA from 1 species
GAUCCUGGCUCAGAUUGAACGCUGGCGGCAGGCCUAACACAUGCAAGUCGAACGGUAACAGGAAGCAGCUUGCUGCUUUGCUGACGAGUGGCGGACGGGUGAGUAAUGUCUGGGAAACUGCCUGAUGGGAGGGGGAUAACUACUGGAAACGGUAGCUAAUACCGCAUAACGUCGCAAGACCAAAGGAGGGGGACCUUCGGGCCUCUUGCCAUCGGAUGUGCCCAGAGUGGGAGUUAGUCUAGUAGGG